rnacentral:rRNA from 1 species
UACGGGGGGGCAAGCGUUGUUCGGAAUUACUGGGCGUAAAGGGCGCGUAGGCGGCCUGCUAAGUCGGACGUGAAAUCCCUCGGCUCAACCGAGGAACUGCGUCCGAUACUGGUGGGCUUGAAUCCGGGAGAGGGAUGUGGAAUUCCAGGUGUAGCGGUGAAAUGCGUAGAUAUCUGAAGGAACACCAGUGGCGAAAGCGGCUUCCUGGUCCAGUACUGACGUUCAGGCACGAAAGCGUGGGGAGCAAACAGGG